AGCGUUGGCCGGUGUAGGCCGUCAUUGUAAAUAAGAAUUUGUUCUUAACUGACUUGCCUAGUUAAAUAAAGGUACAAUUUAAAAAAUGCACCAACUCGGCAGCUGUUUCAUGGAAAGCAAUCCAUUGUGAUUUAAUUAUGUCAUUACUAGCUACAGUGGUUAGCUUCCUUGGAAGUAUUUAGUGUGCAUUGCGUCACUUAGCUACUUACUAUCCCACAUUGCAUAUGAAGUGUGACUGGCUCAUGACAUUUAACCGUGUAUGUAUGGAGAAUGUCAUUUUUUCAAUUUUUGUUGUCACUCCUGUUGGCUCCCCACGUGGGGGUUCAUGCUCUCUGGUUGGCUCAAAGUCAAGUCAUUGUCCACUGACGAGCAUUGAGAUUCUGACAAGUAGAUAAGACAGGAUCGUCGCUAUGGGGUCUACACGUAGCAGGUACAGCAUUUGUUCUAGCAAAGACAAAACGGCCUCCCACUGUGAUAAGUAUCAAGCAGCCGUCUAUCGUUAGUGAGAUUAUCAGUGUGUUUCAUGCUGAAAUUCAAAUGGAAUUUUAUUCAACAUUCGGGAAGCACAGUGCACGUGAAGCUAGCUGGAAGGUUUUCGGCAAAGGAUUUCUGUGCUCGGAUAAUGUCCAAGAGGGAUAGCAUCUGUGCAUCGCGACUAGGUGGUAUCCCAAAUCUUUCACUUUUAUACCUUCCUGAUUUCAUACCCGGAUAUGCGGUAUACUUUAUACAAUGUGAAAUCGCCACAGUAAGUUCUCAGAUCUUCACAAUACAUUGGGUUUAGGGGUCGAUUUGGGGACCAGUGUUUCCGCUGCAGUCAUUGCCGCCACGCCCUAAAAACAUGGACCCUGGAAUAAUAUUUCUGCCGAAGCGCACUUUGAAGAUGCUAUAACAGUUCACAUUUACUAAUGAAUAGAAUAAUCCGACAACCCCAUAGUAGAGUAGUUUAUCUAUUUAACUAUCCGGCUUGUGUGUUGGGUAUGAGAAAUAUUCCUCUUAAUGCAAUGUCGAGAAAACAGCAGUUUUUUAAUAGCCUAUGUUAAAAAGAUGGGGAUCUGCACCAUUUUAAAGUGUUUAACAGUGUCAUGGUUAAGGAGAGGGGAGAGUGGGGCUAAAUGUAACACGGUACCCUGGGGUAAAAUGCCACCCUACCUACAAAAUAUUUCUGGGGGACUUAAAAAAUGGUGAGACUGUUUACAUUUUUAGUUGAGCAAGAGUAGUGGCAACCAGGGAAAGUGUUUGGAAGAAUUGUGGUUUCUGUGAAAAGUACAGGCAAGGGACAUGUUACCCUGGCUUGCGGCAUACUACCAAGUUACCCUAACAGGUCAGCCUCGGCUGUCAGAGACAGGCCAAGAGAAAUGGGGACAGUGUGACCAGAGCUGCAGAUGUCAUCAGACUACUCCACACCAGGGCAAUGACAAGAGAAACAACAUGCUUUCACCUUUUUUCAAUAAACUUAACUGGACUUUUCAUCCUGAUCUUUGACAUGUUUUUUUGAAUAACUGUUGUGCAUUUUAUGUAUUUUGGGGGGAAUUGCUCAGCCAAGGAAUCAGGUGGAGAAAUGGGAAAUGCAUGCAUGAGAAAUUAACAUUUCUCUUAUACCAUUGUUAUUCCUUUGUUAGUUUGAAGUCUGAUUUAUGUUAUUUUUAAAGUAAAACAUUUCGGCUUUUCAUGGUCCGUUUUCAAUAAUGGCUGCUGUGACUACUGCUAGUUAACAUGAGGACGAAAACGUCAGUUUUCUGGGGAAGUUAGUAGAGAUGUACCGAUAUGACAUUUGGCCGAUAUCUGAUAUUUUCCUUUCCAAAAGGAAUCUGAUACCGAAAUUUUACAUU